rnacentral:rRNA from 1 species
AUUGAACGCUGGCGGCAGGCCUAACACAUGCAAGUCGAACGAGUGGCGGACUGGUGAGCAAUGUCUGUGAAACUGCCUGAUGGAUGGGGUAACCUCCUGGAAACUGUAGCUAUUACCGCAUACCUUCGGAUUUUCCCAAGUGGGAUUCGCUAGUAGGUGAGGUAAAGGCUCACCUAGGCGACGAUCCCUAGCUGGUCUGAGAGGAUGACCAGCCACACUGGAACUGAGACACGGUCCAGAAUCCUACGGGAGGCAGCAGUGGGGAAUAUUGCGCAAUGGGCGAAAGCCUGAUGCAGCCAUGCCGCGUGUAUGAAGAAGGCCUUCGGGUUGUAAAGUACUUUCAGCGGGGAGGCGUUACCCAAAGAAGAAGCACCGGCUAACUCCGUGCCAGCAGCCGCGGUAAUUC